AUGAACGCUGGCGGCGUGCCUAAUACAUGCAAGUCGAGCGAACAGACGAGGAGCUUGCUCCUCUGACGUUAGCGGCGGACGGGUGAGUAACACGUGGAUAACCUACCUAUAAGACUGGGAUAACUUCGGGUAACCGGAGCUAAUACCGGAUAAUAUAUUGAACCGCAUGGUUCAAUAGUGAAAGACGGUUUUGCUGUCACUUAUAGAUGGAUCCGCGCCGCAUUAGCUAGUUGGUAAGGUAACGGCUUACCAAGGCAACGAUGCGUAGCCGACCUGAGAGGGUGAUCGGCCACACUGGAACUGAGACACGGUCCAGACUCCUACGGGAGGCAGCAGUAGGGAAUCUUCCGCAAAGGGCGAAAGCCUGACGGAGCAACGCCGCGUGAGUGAUGAAGGUCUUCGGAUCGUAAAACUCUGUUAUUAGGGAAGAACAAAUGUGUAAGUAACUAUGCACGUCUUGACGGUACCUAAUCAGAAAGCCACGGCUAACUACGUG
rnacentral:rRNA from 1 species